rnacentral:lncRNA from 10 species
GGUGGCCUGGUACUCAGCCUGAGUGGUGGUAACCUGUUGACAGGACCUUCCCACUUUUUUUUUUUUUUCACUGACAGCUUUCUUUUAAUAAAUUCUGCCCUCCUUACCAUUUAAUGUGUUCAUGUGCCUAAUUUCUUCUGGCUGUGAGACAAGAACACGAACUUUAGCUAAACUAAGGGGGAAGAAAAUCUUUCAUCAUUACCAAUGAUGUGUAAGACACGAUAAGAUAAAGCUCCUACUUCAGCACCUCUCUGUUCAAAGGCAGCCCUUGCAGCAACAGGUAUUGUCAGCAUCAAUGUCAUCACAUGUUAAAGAAAAAUAUACAUGGAAAUGCAAAGUAAUGAAUAUCAGCCCCUGAAAACUGUAAAAGAGAUAGAGAAAAUAAGAUCAAAGACAUAGGAGGAUGACCAUGAGAGAAAAAUCUACUUGAUAAGACAGAUGGUAAUCAAUCAACUACAAUAGCACACUGACAAACAACAGAGACAUUUACAAAGUGCUGCAGGAAAGAAGCAAAAAAAGAAAGGUCUUAUAUUCGCCUUCAAAAAGAAGAUAAAACUUCUCAAAGAUAUUGAAACUGCAGCAUACGUAUUGAAGUUUGAAUAAAUGUUCACUACGCAGAUAAGAAUAAUCCAUACUAAAAUAACAUAAUUUCCUAAUUUCCAAAUGAAGAAAGGAAAGAAUAUGUGUUACUUGGAGCAGUCUGAUAUCUGCAUCAUGUAUCUGGUGCUCAGACAAUGAAAAAGAGGAGCUGAGAUAAUCUAUAGAUACAAUAAGUAGAUGCAGAUUUUGAAAGGUCAGUGCCAUAAUAAAUAACUUGGAAAGUAUAUAAGCUUGGAAAGCCAUUAAAGAAAUUUGGCAGGAAAAUGGUAUUAUCGAGUUUGUCAUCAUAAAGAGCAUUAAGAUGAUGGUGAGGAAAAUGAAUUGCAGAAUGGUGGUUCCACAAGGAAAAUAUAUCAGUGAAGAGGUCAUUGCAACAUUCUGAAAGAAAGAAAUCCUUUGGUGCUGGGAAAAAGGAGAAAUUGGUAAUAUAUCAGAAGAUACUUAGAAUCCAUCUUGACUUGGUAUUCCAAUUCCUUUCCCUUGUAUGGUCAGCCAAGGAGAGGUGCUUUCCUGGCCUAGGGCAUACCCAAACACUUUGAAGGGACUUGGGGCAUGUGAAUGUUAUGGAAAAUGUUCCUGACUUCAAUGUCAGACAUAGAGAAAAUAUAUAACAUCAGAAAUUGCGCCAGAAGUGGAAGCCAUAUUACAAAAAUGAGAGAGGAAGAGUAAGGGAGAGAAGUAUAUGAGGGAUAUAUGAACUUAAGUGAUCAACAUUCCAUAAAAAUAUAUAAAAUGUUUAACACAUAUGAAUAUGUAUAAGGAAAGCGUAUUUCUAGUGGAAUGCAAAUACCUUCUUAUCAAAAUGUAUUUCAUUUACCUUUGUAAUUUCUGCUUUUGAUAAAUACUGAACAAAGGGGUUAGAACCAGUAUUACAGACUGAA